rnacentral:rRNA from 1 species
GACGAACGCUGGCGGCGUGCUUAACACAUGCAAGUCGAGCGGAGCGGCGAACGGGUGAGUAACGCGUGAGUAACUGCCCCCCUCUCUGGGAUAACAGUUGGAAACGGCUGCUAAUACCGGAUAGUGGGGGAUGACUCGCGUCCUAUCAGCUUGUUGGUGGGGUAGGGUCCUACCAAGGCGACGACGGGUAGCCGGCCUGAGUGGGCGACCGGACACAUUGGGCGGAGAUGCGGCCCAAACUCCUACUGGAGGCAGCAGUGUGGAAUAUUGCACCAUGGGGGAAACCCUUAUUCAGCAUCGCCGCGUGCGGGAUGACGGCCGUCGGGUUGUAAACGGCUUUCAGCCAUGACGCGUUAGUGGCAGAAGAAGCACCGGCUAACUACGUGCCAGCAGCCGCGGUAAUAC